GUGAAUCAUCGAAUCUUUGAACGCACCUUGCGCUCCUUGGUAUUCCGAGGAGUAUGCCUGUUUCAGUAUCAUGAGCACUCUCACACCUAACCUUUGGGUUAUGCUGUGGAAUUGGGAUGCGCCGAUUUUUACUAGUCGGCACUCCUAAAAUGUAGCUCUUGGCUGUUUCCUACUACAGCAGUUUGGCCUAAUAGUUUUGACUUUUGUCAAAUCUUUGGCUACAUUUGCUUCUGGAAAUCAGUCUUGAUAAUACAGAAAACUCAUUUCAAACUUUGAUCUGAAAUCAGGUAGGGCUACCCG
rnacentral:misc_RNA from 1 species